rnacentral:tRNA from 2 species
GGGGAUAUAGCUCAGUUGGUAGAGCGUCUGCCUUGCACGCAGAAAGUCAGGAGUUCGAAUCUCCUUAUCUCCA